rnacentral:misc_RNA from 1 species
AUUUUAUUAAACAUAAUAUGGGUUUAUACUUCUGGUUUUGUCUGAGCAAAACAUGAAUCUUGUGAAUUUCCUUAUAAUUUAGGAGUUGAUGGCAUUCGGUUUCUAUUUUUGAUAAUUUAACUUGGAGUCUCACAUAUAGGGAAUGUCCCUUUUCUUUUUUAGAUUUGCCCUCAUAGAAUUUCUACUUUAGGGUUCUGAGUAAUUUCUUAUUUAGGAGUUUUUUAAUGUUCACUAGGCAAUUUUCACAUCUGGAGAUUGUUUUGUCAGAAAAUUUCAUAGUGAGGACUGAAGAGUACCAACAAGUUUAAUUGGACAUGAAAGAGCAGAUGAUUGUUUAUAAAAACGUAUGUAGUUAUGCCUGGGACCAUUAUCAAGAAGCUAAGCCAAGGAAAAGAGUUGUUGGUUAGUUGCAUUAGUUAGCUGAUCAGUAGUUAGGGGCAUAUACAUGUUGGCAAAUCAAACAAAAAUGGCUUAGGCCAUUUGGUUAAUGGAAAGUCUAGUUUCAAGCCUAGUUCAGCCUGUAGCUUGCCAGUUUGAUAUUCACACUCUUUGGGUCCAUAAAUCUUAACACUUUUAUCAAAAGAACUAGGACUUGUAGUUCAUGAAUCUUGAAAUCAUGUAUUGUCUAGAUUAGGUAAAACAUGUGAAUGGAAUCUUGAUCUUGACAUGUUAGGUGCUCCCCUUCUAUGAUAUAGUGAGUGAAUUUGUUCAAGCUUGCAUGCAGUUAAUGAUAGCAAUUAAGAGUUUAGAAUAGAUAAAAGGGGAAUGCAUAAUGUAUGGUGUGAUACGAUCUCAUACACAAUAGUCAAUACAUUGCCUGCAUCUAGGGAUAUUCUUCUAAUCUAAUUUGAGUUAGAUGAACUGCUUUAAGGUUUUUUUGACUUGAUCAAGUAUUCAUGAGAAUUCUUGCUAGGAAAUUUCUUGGUCAUCCAGUGCUUGGCAUUUUCACUUUACCUACUACUGGUGUGCUACUGCCUAGCAGCAUUCUUUUUCUUCAUACCAUAACUUACAUUCUACUUGUUAGAACUAAUAAUGUAAAAAAUAAUAAGGAAUAAAUAAAAAUAGAAAUAGAGUGCUCUUAUCAAUUAUCAUUGUCAAAAUGCCUUGUGAUCUUCAACCAAUUCUGCACUUCACUAUAAGUGCUCUAGCUUUUUUCUGGUAUGAGAUGAAAUUAUAGUUAAAUUUUAUAGAAUGAAUUAAGAACUAGAGAAAAAAAAUUUUCUCAAUUCUUUUUUCUUCUCUGAAGAAGUUCUGGAAAUUUAUAUAAUCCAUCUUGUUGAUUUAGAGAAGAGAAUUCAAGAAAGAAUCUGAAUAUUAUUGAGUAAUCAACUGAUUUCUUCAGUACAGGUAUUCCUCCUUUUAUACCACCCACUACACUAACUUGACUGCUCACUUAGACUCUUCUGCAUAUUCUGACAUUGGUCUGUGUUAUUAUCUACAUGUAUGUAUUUUCUUUUGGAAUAUUUUCAUUACUUUUCAUUGUUGUUUCAGAGAAAAUUAUGGUUGUGAGGUU